rnacentral:lncRNA from 1 species
UCCCUAGGAGACGUACCUAGGAGGGUAGCAGCACAGUAGGUGGAUGAGCCUACAGAUGCACCAACACAGUAGCCUGAGCCCUUCCAGAUGAGAGACAUGUACAUGUCUAUGAUGGAGGCGAGGAUGGAGUCCCUUUGCAGAGGGUAGGAGGCCACUGCUGAGAUGAUCAUAGGACUUUAGGACCAGCCACCAGUGCACAGGUGGACUAUGGAUGAGUUAUGUAGUGUGAUGGCCUUGCCUCGGGGACAAGCACAUGGUAGUGGGUCCGUAGCUGUUGGGACUUCAGGAGGACAGGAUGAUGACCAAGAGGAUGAAGACUUUGAGGAUGCCCAGGAGGAGGAGGAUGAUGACUCAGAUGAGGAUCUUCGCUGAUGGCAUCUACUGAUGGAUGCCAGCAUUGGACAGGGAUUUUUCUUUUUCUUUUUCUUUGUACUUUGAAUUAGUAGUAUAGGUUGAAUUUAUGUUUGAGUUUAUCCUUGGCUUGUACACUU